rnacentral:rRNA from 1 species
AAAGGAGACCUGUAUGAAUGGCAUAACGAGGGCUUAGCUGUCUCCUCUUUCAAGUCAAUGAAAUUGUACUUCCCGUGCAGAAGCGGGAAUAACCUCAUAAGCAGAGAAGACCCUAUGAAGCUUUAGACACCAAGACAGAUCAUGUUAAACAUCCUUAAUAAAGGACUAAACAAAUGACCCUGGUCCUAACCUGUCUUUGGUUGGGGCGACCGCGGGGAAACAAAAAACCCCCACGUGGAAUGGGAGCACCCCCUCCUAAAACUAAGAGCUCCUGCUCUAGUUAACAGAAUUUCUGACCAAUAAGAUCCGGCAAUGCCGAUCAACGAACCGAGUUACUCUAGGGAUAACAGCGCAAUCCCCUUUUAGAGCCCAUAUCGACAAGGGGGUUUACGACCUCGAUGUUGGAUCAGGACAUCCUAAUGGUGCAGCC